CCUCCCACCCCGCCUCUCGACGGUUCCCGUCUCCCACGACGGACCUCUCGCGACUGCUAGCCGCCGCCCCCCUCGCUCCCCACGCCUGACGGUUCCCCGCUCGCCUUCCCGAUCCACGUCCGCUCGCUCGCCGUCCUCGACGCCAUCGUGAUUCCGCCGUCGCCACGCCGAGCCAUCCCGCGGCGCCGCCCUCCCCCUCGAGCCGCCGUCGCUCCAUCCACCAGUCUCCGCCCCGCCGCCGUCUCUCCAUCCCGCGGCCGCGAGGGGUCCCGUCGGCCCGCGCCGAGGAGGUGGGUCCCCGGUGAUGACGAUGGCAAGCAGUACCGCAAGGAUCCGAUGGAGCGUUCGCCGGCCGAUCCCGUGAAGCGUACGCCGGCGCCGGCGCUGCGUCGUGCUGUCACGCCCUCGUGCCGUCGCUAUCCAGGUGCGUCGCCGUCGUCGCGUUGUCCCUGUCCCCGUCCCCCGUUGACGUCGUCGCGACGCCGCCCCCCGCGCUCCAGGCCGCGCAGCCGCUGCUUCGUCAACCCGCAGCGCCGCCAUCCUGCCACGUCGUCGUGUUUCGCACUGCAGCAUCCUCCAUCUGCAGCAGAACCUGCCCAUCCCCGACACUGCCUGCUCAAGGCAGGCUGUAUGUCUGGGCUGAAUCUCCUGCUUUAUUUGUGUCACAGUCGAAACUGUUUGCGGAUGUGAGAGGUCAGUGCAUUUCACAAUAUUCAAUUUUGACAUAUUGCAAUUUCUGCUAUUUUUAUCGAAAUAAGAAUAGUAUAAGAUCCAUAACUUUGCUGGAGGCUGUGAUAAAAAUGAAAGUGACAUGCGUGAAUCAAUAUAUUUGAGGUAAGCUUAUGUACAAGAGUUUCUCAAGGACACUGAAAGAAAUGUUAUUUCCUGGUCAUUGUUUUGUGGUAUCCAGUAAUGAAAACUCUAAAUAUGCCAUUUUUUAUUGAUUGCCAGAAACAUUAGAGAAUGGUCUUUUGCAUAUUAUUACGAAUUGGUUUUGGUGAUGGAUAAAAUAGUUAUGAUUGCAGCAUUGUAUGCUACAUACUAUCAUGGUUGGAGUCAAUGUUCUGUUGAUAUAUUUUGCAUUCUAGAUCUGUGGCAUACAAUACUUUCUAUGGAGUUUAUUUCCUAUAAGCUAUUAUUUUGCAGCCCAAACAUUAUGAUUGUGUCAUACAGUACGUACUUCUGCAUAUUAGCUUAGUUCUUGAAAUAAUUGUCAGAAGUUAUUCAAUGAUGCCAGAUUUGCCUUACAUCUUUACACAAGAAUUCUGAUAUUUGUGGUUAGUUAGCACCUUUGCUAGGUGGAGUUCCUUCUAGUUUACCUGGACACAACAUAUGGGUAUAACCACACAGGAGCGCACUUUCCAUGGUAUGGUGGCUCUUUUUAUGCAAAUGGACAGCAAAGAAAAUCCACAACUAAUCAUAUCCCGCCCUUGAUAUUCAAUGAUAAUGGUUCCUCUGCAAGAAAUCCGAAUAAGAGCGCCAUGACGCAACAGAUGGAGGCAAAAGAAGCAAGAAACUUAACAGACAAAAGAAGGUUUAGGUAUAAAUGGGUGCAAAUGGUUUAUGCCUAGGUUAUGGUUUGCAAGAUCUUUGAAUUUUUCUUAUAGCAUUGGAAAACGGUUGGGUGCUCAAGUCCAUCUCUGUGAGCCAGCCAUCAAAAUGCUAGCAUCAACAUUCAACCAUUAGGCUUCUCGACUUAACAUUUACAGAAUUGGUCAACCAUGCACAGAUUGCACUAUACAAUGCACAAUUUCUCAAUUUUAUGUCUCAGUAAUCCCAACCCUGAUAAAACAAAAUUGUGGCUGAAACAGGAACAAAUUUAUCACUGUGCUAAUUAUGGCCACAAGCAGUGAGUUUGCCAAUCAGGAGGGAACCCAUUUUAUAUUAACCAUAAAAUGCAGUUGUUUCGGAGUUCAGACUUUCAAACUAACUUUCAAUAGCCUGAAAUAUAGAGGAUGUUGCUGCAAUCUCUGCAGAACAUAGUGUGUCAUCAUGCUCCCAUAUAAAAAAUAAAUUACCGACCAUCUAAAGGUAAAUGAUGUGGCCUCUUUUAAUCUGUGGCUCCACAUGUCAGCCUAGUAGCGGGGAUCAUGCAUUACAUUAUCCUGCUAUGAACAUUCAGCUUGCCUUCAAUCUGAGGCUUUUGUAAUUGCUUGCAUCCAUCCAGAAUUGCUUUUAUGAAGGUUUGAGAAGUAUGAUGUGGACAAGUACAUACUAUACCAACAAAAUCGAAAAAUGACUUCAAGGAUAGAGUUGGUGUAGGUCUAAGUGAUAAGGCUAACCAGCUUUGUUAUUUGAUAUGUUCGAUUGCACUAUAUUUUUUGAGAAUAAAUUACUAUAUUUUUU